AAGGCAGUAACUGUGCAGAUUCACUGCUGUGUCAGUUAGCAGUGAAUCAAGGCCUGCAAGAUGCAAUAACUUGGGGAUACCCAUGGCCUUCUGGAACCUUCCUGUCCUCCCCUUCUGUCUGACUCUAUUCUGUCUCCCAACCCCAUCUCCUGUCGGGUAUUCAUCAUUCCUCCUAACCUUCCGCUGUCAAUGCAGAACUUUUUCUGUACACAAUAAAGGUCUCUGCUUUA